UAGGGAAUCUUCGGCAAUGGGGGCAACCCUGACCGAGCAACGCCGCGUGAGUGAAGAAGGUUUUCGGAUCGUAAAGCUCUGUUGUAAGUCAAGAACGAGUGUGAGAGUGGAAAGUUCACACUGUGACGGUAGCUUACCAGAAAGGGACGGCUAACUACGUGCCAGCAGCCGCGGUAAUACGUAGGUCCCGAGCGUUGUCCGGAUUUAUUGGGCGUAAAGCGAGCGCAGGCGGUUUGAUAAGUCUGAAGUUAAAGGCUGUGGCUCAACCAUAGUUCGCUUUGGAAACUGUCAAACUUGAGUGCAGAAGGGGAGAGUGGAAUUCCAUGUGUAGCGGUGAAAUGCGUAGAUAUAUGGAGGAACACCGGUGGCGAAAGCGGCUCUCUGGUCUGUAACUGACGCUGAGGCUCGAAAGCGUGGGGAGCGAACAGGAUUAGAUACCCUGGUAGUCCACGCCGUANNGAUGAGUGCUAGGUGUUGGAUCCUUUCCGGGAUUCAGUGCCGCAGCUAANGCAUUAAGCACUCCGCCUGGGGAGUACGACCGCAAGGUUG
rnacentral:rRNA from 1 species